CCUACGGGAGGCAGCAGUGGGGAAUAUUGCACAAUGGGGGAAACCCUGAUGCAGCGACGCCGCGUGCGUGAAGAAGUAUUUCGUUAUGUAAAGCUCUAUCAGCAGGGAAGAAAAUGACGGUACCUGAGUUAGAAGCCCCGGCUAACUACGUGCCAGCAGCCGCGGUACUACGUAGGGGGCAAGCGUUAUCCGGAUUUACUGGGUGUAAAGGGAGCGUAGACGGCAGUGCAAGUCUGGAGUGAAAGGCGGGGGCUCAACCCCAGGACUGCUCUGGAAACUGUACGGCUGGAGUGCAGGAGAGGUAAGUGGAAUGCCUAGUGUAGCGGUGAAAUGCGUAGAGAUUAGGAGGAACACCAGUGGCGAAGGCGGCUUACUGGACUAUAACUGACGUUGAGGCACGAAAGCGUGGGGAGCAAACAGGAUUAGAUACCCCUGUAGUC
rnacentral:rRNA from 1 species